GACGAACGCUGGCGGCGUGCUUAACACAUGCAAGUCGAACGAAGAGCGAUGGAAGCUUGCUUCUAUCAAUCUUAGUGGCGAACGGGUGAGUAACGCGUAAUCAACCUGCCCUUCAGAGGGGGACAACAGUUGGAAACGACUGCUAAUACCGCAUACGAUCCAAUCUCGGCAUCGGGACUGGAUGAAAGGUGGCCUCUAUUUAUAAGCUAUCACUGAAGGAGGGGAUUGCGUCUGAUUAGCUAGUUGGAGGGGUAACGGCCCACCAAGGCGAUGAUCAGUAGCCGGUCUGAGAGGAUGAACGGCCACAUUGGGACUGAGACACGGCCCAGACUCCUACGGGAGGCAGCAGUGGGGAAUCUUCCGCCAUGGACGAAAGUCUGACGGAGCAACGCCGCGUGAGUGAUGACGGCCUUCGGGUUGUAAAGCUCUGUUAAUCGGGACGAAUGGUUCUUGUGCGAAUAGUGCGAGGAUUUGACGGUACCGGAAUAGAAAGCCACGGCUAACUACGUG
rnacentral:rRNA from 1 species